UAGGGAAUUUUCGGCAAUGGACGAAAGUCUGACCGAGCAACGCCGCGUGAGUGAAGAAGGUUUUCGGAUCGUAAAACUCUGUUGUUAGAGAAGAACAAGGACGUUAGUAACUGAACGUCCCCUGACGGUAUCUAAUCAGAAAGCCACGGCUAACUACGUGCCAGCAGCCGCGGUAAUACGUAGGUGGCAAGCGUUGUCCGGAUUUAUUGGGCGUAAAGCGAGCGCAGGCGGUUUCUUAAGACUGAUGUGAAAGCCCACGGCUCAACCGGAGAGGGUCAUUGGAAACUGGGAGACUUGAGUGCAGAAGAGGAGGGUGGAAUUCCAUGUGUAGCGGUGAAAUGCGUAGAUAUAUGGAGGAACACCAGUGGCGAAGGCUGCUCUCUGGUCUGUAACUGACGCUGAGGCUCGAAAGCGUGGGGAGCAAACAGG
rnacentral:rRNA from 1 species